rnacentral:rRNA from 1 species
GACGUAGGGCGCAAGCGUUGUCCGGAUUUAUUGGGCGUAAAGAGCUCGUAGGCGGCUUGUUGCGUCGUCCGUGAAAACCCGCAGCUCAACUGCGGGCUUGCGGACGAUACGGGCAGGCUGGAGUUCGGUAGGGGAGACUGGAAUUCCUGGUGUAGCGGUGAAAUGCGCAGAUAUCAGGAGGAACACCGGUGGCGAAGGCGGUUCUCUGGGCAUGUCCUGACGCUGAGGAGCGAAAGUGUGGGGAGCGAACAGG